rnacentral:rRNA from 2 species
CAUCAAGUCGAGCGCCCCGCAAGGGGAGCGGCAGACGGGUGAGUAACGCGUGGGAAUCUACCCUUUUCUACGGAAUAACGCAGGGAAACUUGUGCUAAUACCGUAUGAGCCCUUCGGGGGAAAGAUUUAUCGGGAAAGGAUGAGCCCGCGUUGGAUUAGCUAGUUGGUGGGGUAAAGGCCUACCAAGGCGACGAUCCAUAGCUGGUCUGAGAGGAUGAUCAGCCACAUUGGGACUGAGACACGGCCCAAACUCCUACGG